UCCGUCCUAAAAAAUACUCGACCCAUGAAAUGACCAAGGCUACAUUUAAUCACGUUCAGAUAAUCAUCAAUAACAGCUGCAAAAUUUACUGGCCCAUCGUUAGGAACUAGGAACUUGGUUUCCUUCUUGUCUGAGCGCUGUUUCGACCUACAAUGUGUUACAAGCAUCCCAUAAUUUGUUGUACAAACUGUACAUACAUGAAGAAAUUGAACCAAAUAUUUCGACCCCCUUCCUGUAUUAGUAGAACCCUGGAGAAGGAUGAAUAUACAGAAACCUGAUUACUAAAAUAAACAUGUACUGUAUGCACUGUACACUGUACUGCAGUAUGCUCUGAGCCAGAUUUAGGUCUCAGUUGACAAAAGUCUGCUGCUUGGUAAAUCAGAAUUAAUAUUCAGAAUCUCCGGUAGAGGCUGAGUGGGCGUUUCCUCUCUCCCCCUCCCCCCCCUUCAUACUUCAUCUCUCUGCGUCCUGAGAGGUUGAUGUAUAGGAGCAAUGACGACCUCGCCAACCCUCUUGGAAAGGUCAAAGUCGUUUUUAUGUUAUUUUACACUGAAAUAAAUUAUUGUACAAAUUUA